GUAGGCAGCGAGCGUUGUUCGGAAUUACUGGGCGUAAAGCGUGCGUAGGCGGUUGKSUAAGUYMGGUGUGAAAUCUCCSGGCUYAACUGGGAGGGUGCGCYGAAAACUGGCCGGCUAGAGUGCGGGAGAGGGAAGUGGAAUUCCUGGUGUAGCGGUGAAAUGCGUAGAUAUCAGGAGGAACACCGGUGGUGAAGRCGGCUUCCUGGACCGUGACUGACGCUGAGGCACGAAAGCGUGGGGAGCAAACAGGAUUAGAUACCCUGGUAGUCCACGCCCUAAACGAUGCARACUUGGUGUGSGSCCUUCAUUGGGUGCGUGCCGUAGCUAACGCGUUAAGUCUGCCGCCUGGGGAGUACGGUCGCAAGGYUG
rnacentral:rRNA from 1 species